UUUGAAUUCACCGGAUGUUUAUUUCCAGAAGAAAAGUAUAAACAAACACGACGAUAGCCUAAAAACGAAGUUUGUUUCCAGUCUUACUGAAGAAGAUCGACUUACUUCAAGUUACCGACGAAUGAAUAUCAGCUUUCUCGUUGUUUUUGACGACCGAUGCAUAUUUUUACCGACAAACAUCGUUACGAGACAGGGGUUUUGAUGAUUAAUUUAUCACAGAUUACACGGCCGAAGGAAACGCAGUACCGAUCCAUGUGUUACAAUCAGACUGAGUCUUCAUGCAGUACAUUCUGGAAUGAGGAACACCGCAUGCAUUAAUUGUGGUCCAAAUUGAUGGCAUUGACUUAACACAAAGCAGAAAGGAAUGAAGAGAAAUGAAGAAGUUUAUGUUUCACAUUAAUUAAGAUUAUUCGAGAUGUGUUAUCUGUCGAGGUAUACAACAUUUCCUUUCAUAAUAAAAGUGUAAACAUUAAUAUAUAUACCCAAAAAAAUUAUGUAUAUAAUCUAAAAAUCCUUGUUAGUUAUUUGUUGUACUAGCAAAAAAUAUAAUAUAGUCGUCUCAAGCUUGGUUGUAUUGAAAUCCCCGGGGACAGUGACAGAGAUAUAUCACUACAGUACGUGCUACAUCAAACAACACACCAUUGUUCAAAUUGUCAAUCAACAUUUCAUUUAGUCAGUAUUUAGAAUUGAUUCCAAAAUUAUGAUAAUCUUUUCACAGUUUAUUAGAAAUAGGGUUAAAUUCGAUAGAAGAAGUCAUUGACUGUUGCUUGUUUUUGUUUAUUUUAAGUUUACGGACACACAUGAAAACAGUUUCCAGUACAUCUGGGCUACUUCGAGGAAACUACGUAUACUGUCUGAAAUCAGUCUUGUGCGUCGGUGACAAAAUGUAUACAUAUCCUACUAUAACUCUGCUGGAAAAUAUUAUUUUGUACUAUUUUCCUACUAUUUUAGAAAAAAAAA